rnacentral:tRNA from 1 species
GAGGAUGUAGCUCAGUCAGUAGAGUGCUUGCCUAGCAUGCACAAAGCCCUGGGUUCAAAUCCCAGCAUACCA